rnacentral:rRNA from 1 species
CAGCAGCCGCGGGAAAACGUAGGGUGCAAGCGUUAAUCGGAAUUACUGGGCGUAAAGCGUGCGCAGGCGGUUUGUUAAGACAGAUGUGAAAUCCCCGGGCUCAACCUGGGAACUGCAUUUGUGUCUGGCAAGCUAGAGUAUGGCAGAGGGGGGUGGAAUUCCGCGUGUAGCAGUGAAAUGCGUAGAUAUGCGGAGGAACACCGAUGGCGAAGGCAGCCCCCUGGGCCAAUACUGACGCUCAUGCACGAAAGCGUGGGGAGCAAACAGGAUUAGAGACCCCCGUAGUCCCUGUCUCUUAUAC